rnacentral:lncRNA from 1 species
GUAGUAAGAUCGCGCUAUGAACGUAGUAUAAUCGUGGUAAGAACGUGUUAUAAUCGCAGUAAGAUCGUGUUGCAAUCGGAUAACUCGUGGUAUGGUCGUAGUGAGAACGUGAAUAGCGUAGAAAGAUCUUGAUAAGCGUAGUGAGGUCGCAGAAUAAGCGCGGUGAGAACGUGGUAUAAUCGUAGCGGGAUCUUUGUAGAAGCGUAGAGAGGACGUAGUAGCAUCGUGAAAGCAACGAACAUUUACAUUUUCAUGCCGCUCAUACCGCGACCUCACCACGAUGUAAAUUUAUUUUAGAUCGCGGUGAGCGUGGUGCGAUCGUGGUCUAGUGGGACUGGGGCUUAACAGAAAAAUAAUAGAACACAAUACAGAACAUAGAAAAUUAAAGACUAAGCAACACGAACCCCACCAAAAACUGCGAGUGAUCGCAGAUAUAUCAAAUGUUUUGUUUUCCUCCUGUGAGAAAUUAGAGGUUAUUGAGGAAAGGUCUCUGGUAAUUUAAAUUCAAUCGCAAUUGUUCAUAGGCAUUGAACGGUGUGGAUCUUGACUAAUAAUUAAGGUACUUAAUAAAUGUAUAUGUUGUAUGAACGUCAAUGAGACAACUCUCAACUAGAGACCGAAUUGCAUAAAAGAUUACAAGCGAAAUUCACUGAGCGGCUUUCAACAAUUAUAUGCCUCAAAAAGACAAAUUUAACCUUAAUUUAUAAUGAAAAAAAGAAAGAAUCUGAUAUUCAUAAGUGUUAUACUAUAUAUAUCAUGUGAGGAAACAUGAGCUACUGUGACAUAAACUUGAAGCAAUAUAUUUCUGUAGAAGUCUUAAUACGAAAA